CGCUGAAUGUAUACAUGCGAUGAAGGCGUCAGGACGAUUAUAAAUAUAGUUUCGCGGUUGUCAACGUUGAGCGACGGAUAGAUGCAAAAUGAUGGAUUGUAGAGGAGCGAGAAACAGGGAUAAAAUGGUUCUGAAAUUUUUGUCAAGUGUAAGAAUUUUUGGCCGCCACCAAGAUCAUGGCAGGCGGCCGACAUCCGAAAUCCCGAACUGUGCCAAAUUAUAUACAGUGAGUAUUAUUUCCGUCUCAUCUGCCGAAAUUCUCGAGUGUUCGGAACCUCGUCGGACGAUCAGUGCGAAGAGACCGCGGGUUGGCAGUAUAAGUUAAGUAGCGAUUAGUAACGAGGCAGCAAUAAUUCUCGGCGUGAAUAAGCGCUCAAUUGACACCAUAAAAAUCAUCUACUCGACGAGCGCGAAUGGUAGUCGGUCGUGUCGAGGGUCUUUCGUGCAGCGGCUGCUGCUAGGCUGGUCCGGAAAAUGCAGAGUGAAAGACGCGUCAAGCCGCGAGAAAAUCCGCGGGACGGUCGAAGGAAGGUGAAACCAAAGAGGGACCGAAGUUCCGGCCCAAAAACAGGACCCAGGAAAAUCCAAGGGGUCGAUGAGGACCCCGUGAAAAAAUCCUUCGACAUUCAGGAACCGGGCAUUGCUGCUGUGAAAUCACCGAUGACAUCGCUCGACGAAAAUGUCAACCGCAUACUGCGAAGAAGCAGGGAGGCUCAAAAAGAAAAUUCGGGAGAUCGAGAGAGGAUAGAGAGGCUCUCGAUGGAGGAACCGGAGGUUGGCGAUGGACGGGAAGUGGGCAAGCCCGUCCAGGUGGUACUUGCCCAUCCUGACCAUACUUUUGAGCUCGACGAAGACGCCCUGGAGGAGAUCCUCGUCCAGGACGAUAUUAAGGACCGGAGCGUCGUCGUCGUAUCCGUUGCUGGAGCCUUUAGAAAAGGCAAGAGCUUCCUGCUCGACUUCUUCCUUCGCUACAUGAACACCAAGUAUAAUCUAAAUAUUGAAACGGACUCGUGGCUGGGGGCGGACGAAGAUCCCUUGGAUGGUUUUUCGUGGAGGGGAGGAUCCGAGCGGGACACUACCGGGAUUUUAAUGUGGUCGAAAGUGUUCAAAGGGACGCUUCCCAGCGGCGAGAAGGUUGCCAUUAUACUGAUGGACACACAAGGAGCUUUCGACAGUCAAUCGACGGUCAGGGAUUGCGCGACGGUUUUCGCCUUGAGCACCAUGCUGUCUUCGGUACAGAUAUACAAUCUAUCGCAAAAUAUCCAGGAGGAUGAUCUUCAGCAUUUACAACUGUUCACCGAGUACGGUAGAUUGGCUUUGGAAAAGUCGGGCAGCACACCAUUCCAGAGAUUACAGUUCUUGGUGAGGGACUGGAGUUUCCCUUACGAGGCUGACUACGGGGCUGAAGGGGGUAAAAAGAUACUCCAGAGAAGACUGGAGAUAUCGAACAGACAACAUCCCGAGUUGCAGAGCUUGAGGAGACACAUUAAAUCCUGUUUCUCAGACAUAUCAUGCUUCCUUAUGCCUCAUCCCGGGCUCAAAGUUGCCACAAAUCCAAAUUUCGACGGUAGAUUAGCGGAAAUUGAAUCUGAGUUUAAAGUUCAACUACAGACGUUAGUACCGAUGCUACUUGCGCCGGAAAAUUUAGUUACUAAAAAAAUUGACGGUCAAGUUGUCAAAGCCAGAGACCUGUUAGAGUACUUCAAGAGUUACAUUAAAAUUUACAAAGGAGACGAGCUUCCCGAACCGAAGAGUAUGCUUGUGGCAACGGCUGAGGCGAAUAACUUGUCCGCAGUAGCCGAAGCAAAAGAUCUGUACUCGCAGAUGAUGGAAAAUGUCUGCGGGGGUGCCAAACCAUUUUUGGCAACAGCUCACCUCGAGUCUGAGCACCAGAGAUGCGUCGAUAGGGCGCUCUAUCAGUUCUCUAAUAAACGGAAAAUGGGAGGCGACGAGUUCAGUCAAACUUACAUGGAAAAAUUACAAAAGGACAUGGAUGAAUCGUUCCAACAAUUCAAGGCGCACAACGAAAGUAAAAAUAUAUUCAAGGCUGCCCGAACGCCGGCAGUGUUUUUCGCCAUUGCCGUAACUAUGUACAUCCUUUCCGGAGUAUUCGGCUUGGUCGGUCUCUACACCAUUGCGAAUAUUUGUAAUCUUGUCAUGGGUAUCGGACUCUUAACGCUGGUGCUGUGGGCUUACAUCAGGUACAGUGGAGAACUUCGAGAGCUUGGAACACAAAUAGAUGAAUUAGCAAGUGCCAUUUGGGAAAAUGCCUGGCUAUGUGUACAUCUCAUUCACAGGUUGAGAUACAUAAUCCUUUCCAUAUUUUUUGUUUUUAUAUGCUCCAUCCCUUCCUUCGCCCUUAUUCGUAACUAUCUUCGCGAGCAUCGCAAAGUCUGAUCCCACGCUUCCUUUUUCAUUCGCUAUUUAUUCAAGGUUUAUAUCGCUCUCGAAUGAAAUUCUCGCCAUUGAUUUAUAAUGCUUUAAACGUAGUUUAUGGUACUAUUUGCAGCCUGUUUUUACUUAUGUUUCGCAAAUUUGUACAAAUUAUGUUUAUCCUAGCCUUUUACUCCUGCAUUUUUGUUGAUGAUUUAUUAUCAUAUUAUAAUUAUAUAUCCCCGACACUAACACGCGCGCCUCCUUUGAAAGGAAUCAACGAUUAGGAAAGUUCAUGAAACCGCUUUAUCAACAGUUCGUGGAGAAGUCAGUAUCCGUAGCUGUCGCGCAGGCUGCUGAGAUGGCUACAAAUUCGACGUUAAGUGCCAACGGCAAGCCUAAAAUAUCGUAACUUUCAUUCCCUUAAUUAUGUUUCGCCCGGUAGGAAAUACAAAAAAAAUGAAUACAUAUAAAGCAUGAGAAGAAAAAUAUAAAGCUAACAAAGCAUACUACAAUAAUGCAAUUUUACAAAAGAAGAAAGAAGGAAAAAACUUAUUUUUGGCAUGACUAAAAUUCAGAUUCCAUACAAUUAUUAUCAAACAAGCUGUGAAAUUUUUAAAGGCUAUAUGUCACAGGAAUAACACAGUGGCAAUGAAGAGGUCAACCUAUGAUAGUUGUGAAUGUAUGUACAGUAUACUCUGAUAGUUAAUCAAUGUCAGAUUGUUAAAAUUAUGGUUAUUAUUACAAUCUAUGAUCAUUGCUAUUAUAUUGUUAUAGAAAUAAAAUCUUGUACCAAUAAGCAGUGCUAUUAUUGUAGGUUGGUCAAAGAUGAUUACUUUUUACUACUGAACCAGGCGGGAUUUGUUUUCCGUCAUAGUACAUUGCCGGUAGUAGACAUAAAAAUCAAAGCAUAUUUGACCGUGCUACGAAUAAUAUCUGGUUCAUACGUUAUUUUUGUUGCUUUUUGUAAUACAAGUUUUGUGAUAUUUAUACUGCAACAUACGCAACAGUAACUCCUUUGAGAUUAUUCAGUUUUUUUUUUUUUUUUAACUUUCUUCUAACUUGAUGGGAGAAAUUCCUGAUAAAAUGAAUCGUAAUUAAUACUUCCACAAAUAAAAUUGAACUGACCUGAAUGUCACAAAGCUUUGUUUAAAUUCUGUGGCUCUCGGUAAAUAACACCGAGCUCAAAAUUAUGUCAUAAAAGUUUCUAAUUGACAGAUAACAUUAUUAGAUUCUCUCUCUCUCUCUCUCUCUCUCUCUCUAUUUAUGUAUUUAUAUAGGCAUCUAUACUCUGUUCCAAAAUAAUGUAGCAUAUUUUUUUGCUGGUAACUGUCUUGCCAUGUAUUUUACAUACAACGCCUUGUGACGCUAUUUUAGCAUUGAUUUUGAUUACUCGUUUGUACAUUGCGGUGGUUUUUUUUCGUUUUUUUUUUCAUCAUUUUUAAUUAUGUUCAUACGUAUAUGCAAAUAUUUGCAUCGAUUAUUUACUCAACACGUGUAAUCAGUAUUUUUUAGAUCACCAUUCUUGAAUGAGAUUUUAUAAAAUUCCUUGGUAUGCUUUAUUUAAACGAGGAAACACCUUUGUACGACGAAUGCUGUUUUUAACAACUUAGGGUACACAAGGUUUUUAUUAGAAAUUAAUUCUUAGUCAAUAGAACAAAAGCUCAAUAACAAGUGCUAAUUGAAUAAAGUAAACCGUCGGGAGGAUUUUUUAUCAAACAAUUGUAAAAAUGAUAAAGCAUAAACUUUUUUAAAUGGUGAUGGCACAUACAUUUUUUCCUUACAUAUAUUACUCAUGUGAUUUUAAUAGUUUCUUUGGUACUGCAUUAAUUUAUUACAGGGAAAUUUUUAUCGUUUUGUAAUUCCGUUCUUGAAUUUGCUAAGAUAUUGGCCACAGUAACGAUGACUUGCUUAAUUACUUAUCUGAAAGUGAGCCUGUAGCGUGUUUGAAAGUUUAAGUAGUACCUUAAGGUUUAUUUGCAAAAAUGUAGAGCAGACUCGUUAGUCCGAAUGUGUAAGUAAUCGAUAAGCAAGUCCUUAAGCAAGGUGCCAUUAUUUAAGUUGAAAAUAUAUAUUACACAUCUACGCCUCAAAGGGAAUAUGAUUAGUUCUUGAUUCAUUGCGUUAAAAUCCUACAAGAAUAAGUGAAAAAAUCUCUACUUAAAUUGUAGCCAUACAAGUUUGGGCACGAGAUAUCUGAAGAGAAUAUUUUCGUCAGUAAAGUUUCGACUCUUCUCCCAUACUCUUGAUUUACAUACGUCUGCGAUAACUCGAAUGUCUUAUUUUGCGAUCCAAUGUGUCAUAAUUUUGAAGCGCUUGCAAUAACUUAAUACAGCGAAUUAAUAUGGAUAAAAUUAUCUCACACAAGGGGAAUAAUGAUUGAUUUUCAUUAUAUUCGUAUGUGAAAUCAGGAGUAAAAUAUUGUUGCGAAUUAAGUUACGUUCCAAUUGUUUGUUAUUAUAUUAGAAAUAAAUGCGUAUUUUUGUAAUUAUGACAGAUGUGAUUUAAUAAAGGUGAAGCCUUACGGAUUA